rnacentral:rRNA from 1 species
UGGGGGAUUAGUGGCGAACGGGUGAGUAACACGUGAGUAACCUGCCCUUGACUCUGGGAUAAGCCUGGGAAACUGGGUCUAAUACCGGAUAUGACCGUCUGACGCAUGUCAGGUGGUGGAAAGCUUUUGUGGUUUUGGAUGGACUCGCGGCCUAUCAGCUUGUUGGUGGGGUAAUGGCCUACCAAGGCGACGACGGGUAGCCGGCCUGAGAGGGUGACCGGCCACACUGGGACUGAGACACGGCCCAGACUCCUACGGGAGGCAGCAGUGGGGAAUAUUGCACAAUGGGCGCAAGCCUGAUGCAGCGACGCCGCGUGAGGGAUGACGGCCUUCGGGUUGUAAACCUCUUUCAGUAGGGAAGAAGCGAAAGUGACGGUACCUGCAGAAGAAGCGCCGGCUAACUACGUGCCAGCAGCCGCGGUAAUACGUAGGGCGCAAGCGUUAUCCGGAAUUAUUGGGCGUAAAGAGCUCGUAGGCGGUUUGUCGCGUCUGCUGUGAAAGACCGGGGCUCAACUCCGGUUCUGCAGUGGGUACGGGCAGACUAGAGUGCAGUAGGGGAGACUGGAAUUCCUGGUGUAGCGGUGAAAUGCGCAGAUAUCAGGAGGAACACCGAUGGCGAAGGCAGGUCUCUGGGCUGUAACUGACGCUGAGGAGCGAAAGCAUGGGGAGCGAACAGGAUUAGAUACCCUGGUAGUCCAUGCCGUAAACGUUGGGCACUAGGUGUGGGGGACAUUCCACGUUUUCCGCGCCGUAGCUAACGCAUUAAGUGCCCCGCCUGGGGAGUACGGCCGCAAGGCUAAAACUCAAAGGAAUUGACGGGGGCCCGCACAAGCGGCGGAGCAUGCGGAUUAAUUCGAUGCAACGCGAAGAACCUUACCAAGGCUUGACAUGAACCGGUAAUACCUGGAAACAGGUGCCCCGCUUGCGGUCGGUUUACAGGUGGUGCAUGGUUGUCGUCAGCUCGUGUCGUGAGAUGUUGGGUUAAGUCCCGCAACGAGCGCAACCCUCGUUCUAUGUUGCCAGCGCGUUAUGGCGGGGACUCAUAGGAGACUGCCGGGGUCAACUCGGAGGAAGGUGGGGACGACGUCAAAUCAUCAUGCCCCUUAUGUCUUGGGCUUCACGCAUGCUACAAUGGCCGGUACAAAGGGUUGCGAUACUGUGAGGUGGAGCUAAUCCCAAAAAGCCGGUCUCAGUUCGGAUUGGGGUCUGCAACUCGACCCCAUGAAGUCGGAGUCGCUAGUAAUCGCAGAUCAGCAACGCUGCGGUGAAUACGUUCCCGGGCCUUGUACACACCGCCCGUCAAGUCACGAAAGUUGGUAACA